rnacentral:rRNA from 1 species
UACGGAGGGGGCAAGCGUUGUCCGGAAUUAUUGGGCGUAAAGAGCGCGUAGGCGGUCCGAUAAGUCGGCUGUGAAAGUCUAGGGCUCAACCCUGGAAAGCCGGCCGAUACUGUCGGACUAGAGUCCGGAAGAGGCAAGUGGAAUUCCCGGUGUAGCGGUGAAAUGCGCAGAUAUCAGGAAGAACACCCGUGGCGAAAGCGGCUCUCUGGAACGGUACUGACGCUGAGACGCGAAAGCGUGGGGAGCGAACAGG